GUGAAGUCAUUGAGUAUGUUACAGUAAACAUAUGAAGCUCACUAACAAAUAGUUUCUUUUGUUAGAGUUUGAAGCACUAAAAAUUGAUUGGCAUUUUGAUCCCCAUGCAUAUCCUAGCUGAGAACUGCUCUGUGAGCUGGGUCUCCCUGAACCAGACUCUUGCAUGAAUAUUCCCCCAAACACUGGUGGCUUUUCCCACUUCUUAAGUCUCUGCUGCCACACUGUGGGGAAACACAGAACAAUACAUUAGCUUACAUAUUUUUGUCAUCUUUUUACCAAGGAGCCAUGGUCAUUUACAGUGCCUUGAAUUCAGUUUGAAAAAUAGCAUAAAAGCUAAAAAGAACUUUCAGAUAAAGGAUGAUGUUAACUAAAGUCAUUACAGAGUAGGGGAUUGAUGGUACUAUUAUCAAUAGAGUUGCUUUAUUGACUACUUGGGUAAUGAGCUCAGUUCAAAAUGUAGUUACUUUAA
rnacentral:lncRNA from 1 species